GACGAACGCUGGCGGCGUGCCUAAUACAUGCAAGUCGAGCGGACCGAACAGGAGCUUGCUCUUGUUCGGUUAGCGGCGGACGGGUGAGUAACACGUGGGUAACCUGCCCGUAAGACCGGGAUAACUCCGGGAAACCGGAGCUAAUACCGGAUAACACCGAAGACCGCAUGGUCUUUGGUUGAAAGGCGGCUUCGGCUGCCACUUACGGAUGGGCCCGCGGCGCAUUAGCUAGUUGGUGAGGGAACGGCUCACCAAGGCGACGAUGCGUAGCCGGCCUGAGGGGGUGCCCGGCCACACUGGGACUGAGACACGGCCCAGACUCCUACGGGAGGCAGCAGUAGGGAAUCUUCCGCAAUGGACGAAAGUCUGACGGAGCGACGCCGCGUGAGCGAAGAAGGUCUUCGGAUCGUAAAGCUCUGUUGUUAGGGAAGAAGAAGCGUCGUUCGAACAGGGCGGCGCGGUGACGGUACCUAACGAGAAAGCCCCGGCUAACUACGUG
rnacentral:rRNA from 1 species